CAACAAUGUUUCUUCAACAAUUUCCUCCAGAGGACCCUCCGUUAUCGUUGUCACAGGAGAUUGUCCUUUUUCUUCCACAGUAACUUCUUCCGUUACUUGCUGUUUCUGUCCUUUACGUUUUAUAAUUUUUUUCUUUGUAAUUUUCUUUGGUUUUUUACCCUCUACUACUUCCUCGGUUACUAUAACUUGUUCUCUUAUCUCUUCUUCCUCACUAGGCUUGAUAAUUUCAGGCUGUGGUAACACUGUUUCUUCAACAAUUUCCUCCAUAGGACCCUCCGUUAUCGUUGUUACAAGAGGUUGUCCUUUUUCUUCCACUGUAACUUCUUCCGUUACUUGCUGUUUCUGUCCUUUACGUUUUAUAAUUUUUUUCUUUGUAAUUCUUUUUGGUUUCUCUCCCUUUACUAUUUCUUCGGUUACUGUAACUUGUUCUCUUAUGUGUUCCUCCUCAAUAGGUUUAGCAAAUUCUUGCUGUGGAAGAGGCAACAAUGUUUCUUCAACAAUUUCCUCCAGAGGACCCUCCGUUAUCGUUGUCACAGGAGAUUGUCCUUUUUCUUCCACAGUAACUUCUUCCGUUACUUGCUGUUUCUGUCCUUUACGUUUAAUAAUUUUUUUCUUUGUAACUUUCUUUGGUUUUUUACCCUCUACUACUUCCUCGGUUACUAUAACUUGUUCUCUUAUGUGUUCCUCCUCAAUAGGUUUAGCAAAUUCUUGCUGUGGAAGAGGCAACAAUGUAUCUUCAACAAUUUCCUCCAUAGGACCCUCCGUUAUGGUUAUCACAGGAGAUUGUCCUUUUUCUUCCUCUGUAACUUCUUCCGUUAUUUGCUGUUUCUGUCCUUUACGUUUUAUAAUUUUUUUCUUUGUAAUUCUUUUUGGUUUCUCUCCCUUUACUAUUUCUUCGGUUACUGUAACUUGUUCUCUUAUGUGUUCCUCCUCAAUAGGCUUGAUAAUUUCAGGCUGUGGUAACACUGUUUCUUCAACAAUUUCCUCCAUAGGACCCUCCGUUAUCGUUGUUACAAGAGGUUGUCCUUUUUCUUCCACUGUAACUUCUUCCGUUACUUGCUGUUUCUGUCCUUUACGUUUUAUAAUUUUUUUCUUUGUAAUUCUUUUUGGUUUCUCUCCCUUUACUAUUUCUUCGGUUACUGUAACUUGUUCUCUUAUGUGUUCCUCCUCAAUAGGUUUAGCAAAUUCAUGCUGUGGAAGAGGUAACACUGUUUCUUCAACGAUUUCCUCCAUAGGACCCUCCGUUAUCGUUGUUACAGGAGAUUGUCCUUUUUCUUUCUCUGUAACUUCUUCCGUUACUUGCUGUUUCUGUCCUUUACGUUUUAUAAUUUCUUUCUUUGUAAUUCUUUUUGGUUUCUCUCCCUUUACUAUUUCCUCGGUUACUGUAACUUGUUCUCUUAUGUGUUCCUCCUCAAUAGGUUUAGCAAAUUCAUGCUGUGGAAGAGGUAACACUGUUUCUUCAACGAUUUCCUCCAUAGGACCCUCCGUUAUCGUUGUUACAGGAGAUUGUCCUUUUUCUUUCUCUGUAACUUCUUCCGUUACUUGCUGUUUCUGUCCUUUACGUUUUAUAAUUUCUUUCUUUGUAAUUCUUUUUGGUUUCUCUCCCUUUACUAUUUCCUCGGUUACUGUAACUUGUUCUCUUAUGUGUUCCUCCUCAAUAGGUUUAGCAAAUUCAUGCUGUGGAAGUGGCAACACUGUUUCUUCAACAAUUUCCUCCAGAGGACCCUCCAUUAUCGUUGUCACUGGAGAUUGUCCUUUUUCUUCCACAGUAACUUCUUCCGUUACUUGCUGUUUCUGUCCUUUACGUUUU